GAUCCUCUCUGUUGUGAUUCAUCCCCCCCGGGCCCUACAGUUUCUCCUUCCUGACUCUUACAUUUCUUUGGAUGGCAUCAUUAUUAAGCCUGUGGCUGGCUGACAGCAGAGAGAGAUGCUCAACUUGGAGAAGGUGUUACCUGGGCCAGGUGGGGAAGGUUUGUUUGCAGAGCAAAGAAGUGAAGCCUAUUCAACGUGAAAAAGAUGAGGAUGAAGACCUUUAUUAUGAUCCACUUCCAAGUAAUGAACACACUGGAGAAAGUCAGACAGUCAAAACAAUGUCCCAGACUCCGUGAAGUUCCUGGGUAGAGAAGGAGACAGACAUAUACCAUACCUAAUAAUUGGAUGUCCGAGAGAAUGAGAGAAUGGCAGAAAGAACUUUAGAGCAUGGGUAUGAUGGCUAGAGCUUGAGCAGCCAUUGUGGACAUCAGAUGAACUUGAAAGUGAAAACUAUGAGCUGAAUACGACAAAGCAAACAGAUAGAAAACUGGAUUCAUUAUGACAUUGCAAAGCUGCCAGACCAGCUCUAGUCUGCUUCCCCCUAAUCUUCCUUACUAAGAGAGAGAAAUAAACUUCCAUCUUCUUCAAGCCA
rnacentral:antisense_RNA from 1 species